UAUAUAUAUAUAAAGAUCCACAAUAAUAAUAAGCUGCUGUGGUUUGUAUUUGAACUACCUGAAAAAAAACAACACAUGGCAUUUUCUGUCGUCACGAGCUUAGUUGAUAUUUGAUAAUGGAAGUUGUUAUACAGUUAGUGUGUCAAAACCGUGUCACGUGCCGGUCCACAAAACGUCAUGUUCGGGAACCGGUCCGCAAUGAAACAUUUAUUGACCGGUCAAUAAUAAAAUGGAUGCAAUACGCAUGCGUGUCAACCAUGAAGUUCCAAAGUUCCUUUUUUAAACUUUUUACUAAACAUUUACGGCGUUCCAUUUAUCCAGUUUUGGUUUCAAAUUAAGUUCACUCCAAUAACCGGUGAAUUAUUCAUACUUUGGCAUAUAUAACAAAACACUUAUUUACUGAGACCUCGGGAAAGCAUUGUGUUUUGUGGCCCCUCGACCGCCGUUGUUGCGGCGGCGGUCUCGAGUCCACAAAACACACUGUUUCCCUCGGUCUCAGUAAAUAAGUGAUAAUUAAUUACUGUAUAUAAUGGAAGCUAAUUACAGCCUUGCCUUGCAACGUUGAAGUUUUUCAGGUAGUUCAUGGCAGUUUAUUAUAGAUUCUCCCUACACCGGACCUCUUUAGGUAUCAAUUUGAUAUCCAACGGUCUCUUUAAAUAGAUCCAACAUUUUUGAACCAAUAAGUCCCAGCAUAGUUUGACGUUAUUGUGAGAUGAAAAGUUAAACACAACAAAUACUGAUUGGGCAAAAAUAUAGGAUACAAUUAAACAGUGUCUUGAGUGUGGGGUUCCAACGAUGAACAAUAAUUUUGAGGGAUUUGUACGGUCAAACUACGUUGUUAUAUUUUUUAGGUAGUUUAAUCCUGUAAUCCCUCUAAUUAAACAGUUUUUUCAAAUACAUGGUAAGAGCAUGUCCUGUUCAAUUUUGUGGUCGUUGCCAUAAACAUUGCAUUUGCUCAAUUUUCUCCUUUCAUGAGGAUUUUUAAAAACUAAUAGAGAGGUUCAGAUUUGACUUCCACUACUGCUACCUCUCACUGGCUUAGUAAACAUCUGAUUGGUUGAUCGGAUAUAUAAAACGCAUCUGAUUGGCUAAUGGUCCCUUAAUGGUAGUGGUCGUCAAAUCUGAACCUCACUAAUGUUAUCUUGUUUUAAAGACCAAAAAUCUUCAUGAAACUAUAGAAGGUGUGGGAAAGCAAUGCAUUAUAUCAAAAUGAUCGCUAGUUCCCAGACCUUCUAUUGUUUUAUAAUAUGUAAAUAUAUAUAAAGUAAAACUAACAUUAGACGUAGAGAUAUUUAUCAGACGAGUUUGAAAGAGAAGGCAUAUAAGUACAGACCUACACAUUUGACUGGAUUGACUAUCAAUUAUGUUAAAAACUAAGGGAUGUAGCUUUCUAAAGCACUGUGUAGCUUAUAGAUAGCCUAGUCCAGGCCUUCUCGCGUGACUGGAUCGAUUUUGAAACCCUUGUAUAGUAAGGUACCACCCUAAAAUAGUAGGCGGAAGCGAAAAGGCGAGGAUCUAGGCUGGGUUCAUGUUUGGGCUAGCAUUUGGUAAGAAUGACAUCACAUGGGAAAUGAAGGGAGAUGAGCGCAUGUGACGUCAUACUGACCAAAUGCUAGCACAAAAUUGCCAAAACCAGCCGAGUAACGGUCUAGGCCGGACCAAUUGGCUGGACCUGGCCCUAAUAUAUGAAUGAUGAAUCUUAUACAUAUAAAUGAAUUUGAUGUUUUGUCCCUUUUUAACAAGUAUUAAUUGUGACUGACUGUCGUGACGAAAGCGUAUUCGCCGGUGUACAAUAGUCUGGAACUAUCUUGGAUAUCGUGCUGGAUACAAAACAGUCUUAAUUAAUUGAUUGCAAAGAUAUAUUGUAGGCUCUGGAAUCUCAACUUGUCUUAAGACCGAUUUACCAACCCAACCUCCACAGGAGGGAAGUGCCUGGGAACGAGGUUGUUACCAUCCCAGUAGAAUGACAGUAAGGCCUACUGUACGUCGAUCAUCUUGACAUGUUGCGACAAUUAAAUUUAUGAUAGUGUAGAAAAGUCCCUCGUUACACCGCCUCCGUUUCAAUCCGUGAUAAGGGGUACUCGGCAAAUUGGCUUAGUAGCCUUCUCAACUCUAAACCUCUGUCUUAACCCCGAAACCUGCAUUAAAUUUAUAUAAGAUUUGUUUAAAGUUAUUUAAAGGUAAAUGUCCCUAUUGACAUCUUCACGACAGUUACGACCAAAUGGGCUUAAUCCUCCUGUGUGUUUUCUCUUAUCACAACUCGUCUUUAAUACAUCUCAACAUAUUAGAGUAUAAUAAAGUAUAACUUCAUAUUUUAAUAGUUACUACUGUACGACUAAAAGUUAAUCCGUUGGGUUUUUGUAUGUAACAAUAGUUCUAGUUUUGUUUGAAUAUUGACUAUAUAUUACCUUAUUGUGAUUCAUCUGUUAAUUAUAAU
rnacentral:lncRNA from 1 species